rnacentral:rRNA from 1 species
UACGUAGGGGCGAGCGUUGUCCGGAAUGAUUGGGCGUAAAGGGCGCGUAGGCGGCUGUGUAAGUCAGGAGUGAAAGUCCCGCUUUUAAGGUGGGAAUUGCUUUGAAAACUGAUGGGCUUGAGUGCAGGAGAGGUUAGUGGAAUUCCCGGUGUAGCGGUGAAAUGCGUAGAGAUCGGGAGGAACACCAGUGGCGAAGGCGACUAACUGGACUGUAACUGACGCUGAGGCGCGAAAGUGUGGGGAGCAAACAGGAUUAGAUACCCUGGUAGUCCCUGA